rnacentral:rRNA from 1 species
GAAUAUUGGAUAAUGGGGGCAACCCUGAUCCAGCCAUGCCGCGUGGGUGAUGAAGGCCUUAGGGUUGUAAAGCCCUUUCGGCGGGGAAGAUAAUGACGGUACCCGCAGAAGAAGCCCCGGCUAACUUCGUUCCAGCAGCCGCGGUAAUACGAAGGGGGCUAGCGUUGCUCGGAAUCACUGGGCGUAAAGCGCACGUAGGCGGAUUGUUAAGUCAGGGGUGAAAUCCUGGAGCUCAACUCCAGAACUGCCUUUGAUACUGGCGAUCUUGAGUUCGGGAGAGGUGAGUGGAACUGCGAGUGUAGAGGUGAAAUUCGUAGAUAUUCGCAAGAACACCAGUGGCGAAGGCGGCUCACUGGCCCGAUACUGACGCUGAGGUGCGAAAGCGUGGGGAGCAAA